rnacentral:rRNA from 1 species
AUUGAACGCUGGCGGCAUGCCUUACACAUGCAAGUCGAACGGCAGCACGGGAGCAAUCCUGGUGGCGAGUGGCGAACGGGUGAGUAAAGUAUCGGAACGUGCCCAGUCGUGGGGGAUAACGUAGCGAAAGUUACGCUAAUACCGCAUACGAUCUAUGGAUGAAAGCGGGGGAUCGCAAGACCUCGCGCGAUUGGAGCGGCCGAUAUCAGAUUAGGUAGUUGGUGGGGUAAAGGCUCACCAAGCCGACGAUCUGUAGCUGGUCUGAGAGGACGACCAGCCACACUGGGACUGAGACACGGCCCAGACUCCUACGGGAGGCAGCAGUGGGGAAUUUUGGACAAUGGGCGAAAGCCUGAUCCAGCCAUGCCGCGUGCAGGAUGAAGGCCUUCGGGUUGUAAACUGCUUUUGUACGGAACGAAAAGGUUUGGGCUAAUAAGCUGAGCUCAUGACGGUACCGUAAGAAUAAGCACCGGCUAACUUCGUGCCAGCCGCCGCGGUAACAC